rnacentral:rRNA from 2 species
GACGAGCCACACGAACGUUAUUCGGAAUUACUGGGCUUAAAGGGUGCGUAGGCUGCGCGGCAAGUUGGGUGUGAAAUCCCUCGGCUCAACCGAGGAACUGCGCCCAAAACUGCCGUGCUCGAGGAAGAUAGAGGUAAGCGGAACUUACGGUGGAGCGGUGAAAUGCGUUGAUAUCGUAAGGAACACCUGUGGCGAAAGCGGCUUACUGGGUCUUUUCUGACGCUGAUGCACGAAAGCUAGGGGAGCAAACGGG